UGUUGCUAUAAAAGGGGAAUUUAUCCUUUAACUUCUUGCAAAACAUACACACUUGCAAAGUAAACUGAUUUAUUUUGAAAGGAGGAUUCCAUCCUCAAGUGUGAGGACCAGUUAUGCACUGGGAAUUGUGACACUUUUUCCAUACUUCCAAGAUCCUUUCUCCAAACAUGGAUAUGAACACUACUAUGAUCCUUUAGGGUAAUACUGGCUUCAUUGCAUGGAGGAUCAAGACAGUUCAACAUAACACCUGUGCUGGCUCCCAGUGUCAUUCCAAGACUGUUCUUCAGGAUGGUCCAAAAACCAGACGAGAAUCUCUGUUAUUCUGUCAACAGCGAUUUGGUGAGGAGUGCAGGGAGGCGAUAUCUACAAUACGAUAUUCCACUGAUGAAUCUGUGGUCAAAGAGAAGAUGAGCGACUUUCCAGUAUUGACAGAAGAUGGUCUGUGAGGAUGCAUCAUCUUCAGUCCUGGAUUUGUUCACUCGUUUCCUUGCUGUAUCUGGAUUGGUAAGAAAAUCUUUAGCUUUGGAAGUAGUUUUGAAAAGGAAAUGACCUUCUCUGUAGUUAUUAAAGGAGUUCACUGGUACAGCAGAGAAAGGAGUUGUUCAAUGAUCACCAUAACAAUAACAGGCCGGUCCAAACUGAGAAAUUCAACGUUCUAAUCUUUUAUAUCCCAAAUGUAUGCAUAAAUAACACAGCAGAUCUGAAUUUUUAGCAUUUGACCUUUCAUCCAUUUAUGUCCGUUAUGUUUAAACCUGUAUAAACCUUGUUUAUAGAUCGACCACGAUUUCUCCUGAUGUUUGGUGACGAAGUGUCUCAGAAUUUCCUGGCAAAGUGGUCAACAUUCUUCAAGCCAAACAUCAUUGCAGACUGCAAGACUCUUAAGAAUAUGGGCGAGCUGCUGUCAGGAACUGAACCUGAACCUGAGGACUAAAAUGGAUGGGACAGCGAUAUGUCUUCAAUCCUUUUGCAGCUGCAUCUGCUCCCUCUAACCUCAAGAGGCCAGAAAAAAAAUAUCCAAGAUCAGUUCAGCUCAAGCAACCAGCC